rnacentral:rRNA from 1 species
AUGCAAGUCGAGGGGCAGCAUUUCUAGCUUGCUAGAAGAUGGCGACCGGCGGACGGGUGCGUAACGCGUAUGCAACUUGCCUAUAACUUAGGGAUAACUUGGAGAAAUCCUUGCUAAUAUCUAAUGUGAUCUAAGAUUCGCAUGUUUUUUUGAUUAAAGAAUUUCGGUUAUAGAUAGGCAUGCGUCCUAUUAGCUAGUUGGUAAGGUAACGGCUUACCAAGGCGACGAUAGGUAGGGGGCCUGAGAGGGUGAUCCCCCACACUGGUACUGAGACACGGACCAGACUCCUACGGGAGGCAGCAGUGAGGAAUAUUGGUCAAUGGAGGCAACUCUGAACCAGCCAUCCCGCGUGAAGGAUGACGGCCCUAGAGGUUGUAAACUUCUUUUAUAUAGGAAUAAACAUAUGUACGUGUACGUAUUUGAAUGUACUAUAUGAAUAAGCAUCGGCUAACUCCGUGCCAGCAGCCGCGGUAAUACGGAGGAUGCAAGCGUUAUCCGGAUUUAUUGGGUUUAAAGGGUCCGCAGGCGGACCAGUCAGUCAGUGGUGAAAUCCCAUCGCUCAACGAUGGAACUGCCAUUGAUACUGCUGGUCUUGAGUCUAGUUGACGUAGGCGGAAUAUGACAUGUAGCGGUGAAAUGCAUAGAUAUGUCAUAGAACACCAAUUGCGAAGGCAGCUUACGAAACUACGACUGACGCUCAUGGACGAAAGCGUGGGUAGCGAACAGGAUUAGAUACCCUGGUAGUCCACGCCGUAAACGAUGAUCACUCGAUGUCAGCGAUAUACUGUUGGUGUCUUAGCGAAAGUUUUAAGUGAUCCACCUGGGGAGUACGUUCGCAAGAAUGAAACUCAAAGGAAUUGACGGGGGCCCGCACAGCGGUGGAGCAUGUGGUUUAAUUCGAUGAUACGCGAGGAACCUUACCUGGGCUUAAAUGUAGAGUGCUUUAGAUGGAAACAUCUUUUCUUCGGACGCUCUACAAGGUGCUGCAUGG